UUCAUAGAGCCCACCUUCCAAUUUUUCCAACAACAACAACAACCCAUAUGAAAUUAAGAGCUUAAAGGUAUAAUAGAACUUCCAAAAACUGAAAUUAGAAAGCUUGAUCAUGACUUACUCUAGUUAAUGUCCAAGCCAGAAAUUUCGGCCCCUUUUUGCUCCAGAAAAUCCGUGAGUUUCAGCUCCCUUUUGCAGCUCAAAGUAGUGUCCAAGUGUAGAGCUAAGUGUAUGUGAAGUUGGGUGUGAAUCUAGGAAGGUUUGGUGCAAGUAUUUGGAGAUGGAAAAAUUUGAGAAGCCUUGGUUGUUUUUGCUGCUUGGGUGUCGGCUGCUCUAGUGAGGAAGAAAGAAAUGUUUGGUCUGACUCUUUGGCGUACAAAGAAAGCUUAACAACUAAGAGUUUAGGUGCGCAAAAGUCAACCGCAAAUAGUGCGCAUACGCGCGCGUUUUGUGCUCGAUUUCUCUUAAGUUUGUUG
rnacentral:lncRNA from 1 species